rnacentral:lncRNA from 1 species
GCCGCCGAGGGGAAGCCGCGCGGCCGGCCUGCCGGCUAGGGCUGGAGCUACUCGGCCAGGGUUUGAGACUUUAAAUGAGAAUAAAGGGUGGUAUUUACGAGGAAAUGAGAGUGAAUAAGUCAUCUCUAACCUCUCCGAGCCUUUUUUUCAUAAGAGAGACCAUAUUAAACUUACAUGCUCUCCCGGCUGUGAUUGACCUUCAGUUACAGAGAGAGGGAGCAGAGUGGGACCAGGUCUGAGAAGCAACUCGUUCGUUUCAGGACAUUCCCUCUGAUGUCCUGUUUUCAAACGGUUUGAAGACUGCUUCAUUCUGCCUCUAGUACCAGCGGUUUCUCUGUUCUGUGAUCAAUGUGAUUCACGGGAA